rnacentral:rRNA from 1 species
CUACGGGUGGCUGCAGCUAAGAAUCUUCCGCAAUGGACGAAAGUCUGACGGAGCGACGCCGCGUGGAUGAUGAAUGCCGAGAGGUUGUAAAGUCCUUUUAUCAGAGAAGAAUAAUCAUGUCAGGGAAUGGGCGUGAGAUGACGUUAUCUGAUGAAUAAGCUCCGGCCAAUUACGUGCCAGCAGCCGCGGUAACACGUAAGGAGCGAGCGUGUGUUCGGAAUUAUUGGGCGUAAAGGGCAAGCAGGCGGCCUUGUAAGUCUGGCGUGAAAUACCGUGGCUCAACCACGGAAACGCGCUGGAAACUGAGAGGCUAGAAUCCGUGAGGGGUAUGUGGAAUUCCUGGUGUAGGGGUGAAAUCUGUUGAUAUCAGGAAGAACACCUGAGGCGAAGGCGACAUACUGGCACUGGAUUGACGCUGAGAUGCGAAAGCGUAGGGAGCGAACAGGAUUAGAUACCCCCGUAGUC